rnacentral:rRNA from 1 species
UCCGUAGGCGGGCAAUUAAGUCAGAGGUGAAAUCCCACAGCUCAACUGUGGAACUGCCUUUGAUACUGGUUGUCUUGAGUUACAGUGAAGUAGAUAGAAUAUGUAGUUUAGCGGUGAAAUGCAUAGAUAUUACAUAGAAUACCGAUUGCGAAGGCAGUCUACUAACUGUAUACUGACGCUAAUGGACGAAAGCGUGGGGAGCGAACAGGAUUAGAUACCCUGGUAGUCC